CCCAGCCCACUGACUCACAUGUUAAUCUCCUUUGGCAACACCCUCACAGACACACCCAGAUCAAUAUUCUGUAUCUUUCAAUCCAAUCAAGUUGACACUCAGUAUUAACCAUCACAGGAAGUAUACAAAUUUGACUUAGCCUUGUUAUCUUUACUUACUAUCUUUAUCGUUUUACCUGCUCACCCUGCCCCUGCCUGGUUUCCUAGGUCAAAUUAGGAAUUAAUCUUACAGCAAAGACCCCCUAUUUCAAAAACAGACAAACAAAAAACCUCUGUCUCAGUUUCUGCCUGCCCAAAAGAGAUGUUUCUACUAGUCAGAACAAACAUCAGAGAUGGACUUUGAUCAGAAACUCAGGAAGUGGGAGAGGAUGCAGGUCAGGUUAAGAGAAAUAGUGCAGUUCCAACCCUGGGCAGCCCUAAGUAAGAGUCAUCAGAAGCUUCCAGGCAAUUGUCACUGAAAAAUAAGUGCUAUAGCACUACCUCAGCUGCUGCAACCACAGACCUCAUUCAGAAAUCUUUAUUGUAUUAACCCUUGUGUGUCCGGAAUUGGUGGGUUCUUGGUCUCACUGACUUCAAGAAUGAAGCCUGGGACACUCACGGAAUCAAGACAACUCACCAGAAAAAGGACUGAGAACUCCUUCUGGAUGAAGAUACUUCCUAGGUGCAAGAGAGUUGAGUUAAGGCUAAAGCUCUAUAACCAUUGAAAGCUGGCUGGGGGAAAAGAAGAAGAGGCAAAAAGAUCAACUGAAGAAUAAACUGCUGUCAUUGGCACAAAAGAAUACCACAAAGAUUAUUUACAAAACUCGAAUCAGGAGUAGAACAGACCUCCAUGUGGAAGUUCAAUUAUGCUAAGAGGAAAGAGGAAAGGGGAAGAGUUUACAGAAAUAAAUUAAUGAUGAUGAUAAACUAUUUUCAAGCCCUUACAUUUUUUUUUUUUAUGGAGUUUCGCUCUGUCACCCAUGCUGGAGUGCAAUGGCAUGAUCUCAGCUCUCUGCAAUCUCCACCUCCCUGAUUCAAGCAAUUCUCCUGCCACAGCCUCCCGAGCAGCUGGGAUUACAGGCAUGUGCCACCACGCCUGGCUAAUUUUGUAUUUUUAGUACAGACGGUGUUUUGCCAUGUUGGUCAGGCUGGUCUCGAACUCCU
rnacentral:lncRNA from 1 species